CUAGGAGGCAGUGUUACAGUUACGAUGGUGUUCAUUGGGUUGAAACAAACCUUUUUGACAGAAUGUUUGAUGCUGAAAUCCGAUGGAUUCCUUUUUUCAGGUCGCACAGAUGGACUCCCCUCCUUCCUAGUGCACAUAGAGCUCCCAAGUAUCAGGAAUUGCACCACCAGCCCGCGGGAGACCAAAGUGACCAGCCUGUCAGAGGAGCAGCAGCCUCACAUCCUCAGCACACUCACCUCCAAGUUGGAAUUUCUCCAACAGUUGCGCAUCUUCUCCAUCUUCAAAGAGGAGCAGCGGGGUUUUGACGGCCGCAGCGCACGGAGAAGAAGAAAGGGCUGCUGUCGGUGCCACAGGACAACACGGCCUGUUUGGAGGAAAAUAACAGGGAAGAGAAGAAAAAAAAGUCCUCCACUCUUUCUGAAUGCGCAAUAAAGCUCCUGCAGGUUUUCUAUCAGAGAGGCGGAUGGACAUUAGAAAAGGUCCGCUUUUGUUUUUGAGAAAUACAGUAAAAAAAACAUGCAUCCCUGUAAAGCAUGCAGAAACAAAAAAACAUGGCGGAUUGAAAAAUCUCCCACGGCAGAGUCAUUACGGCUGCAAUUAGAAAGUCAUUUGCAUAAAUGCUAAUGAGUCAGAAUGCAUGUCUGCGGUGGAGGCAAACGUGGGCUUUCUUUCCUCUGUUUGUCUUUCUUUGGGUUUCGAAAAGCAAAGGUUUUUUUGAGGAAGGCCUGAGGAGGCUUUCAUUCCAGUUUGCCCCCUUUUUAAGACAAACGCCUGCAUCUUUGCGUUAAAAGUCUUUAAUUUAAGGCAGAUAUUGCACCACUUUUGAUUUAUUUUAAUAAAGAAGCACUGAUCAUGUUUGCUGUGCUGCAGGAAAGAUGAACCCUCUCCUCGUGUGAUGCACUGUCAUCCAGAAAUUUUAAUUUCUAGUAUGGAGUUUUAGUCUGUUGUCAUUAAAAUGAGAAAACUCUCAUUUUGCAAUAUUUCUUUCCUUACCUGCAGAGUGCAUGCAUGAAUA
rnacentral:lncRNA from 1 species